rnacentral:rRNA from 1 species
GUCGAACGAGAAAGGGUAGCAAUACCUGAGUAAAGUGGCGCACGGGUGAGUAACACGUGACUAACCUACCCUGGAGUGGGGGAUAACUGAGGGAAACCUUAGCUAAUACCGCAUAACACCUACGGGUCAAAGGAGCAAUUCGCUUCAGGAGGGGGUCGCGGCCGAUUAGUUAGUUGGCGGGGUAACGGCCCACCAAGACGAUGAUCGGUAUCCGGCCUGAGAGGGCGCACGGACACACUGGAACUGAAACACGGUCCAGACUCCUACGGGAGGCAGCAGUGGGGAAUUUUGCGCAAUGGGGGAAACCCUGACGCAGCAACGCCGCGUGGAGGAUGAAGUACUUCGGUACGUAAACUCCUUUCGAUCGGGACGAUUAUGACGGUACCGAGAGAAGAAGCCCCGGCUAACUUCGUGCCAGCAGCCGCGGUAAUACGAGGGGGGCGAGCGUUGUUCGGAAUUAUUGGGCGUAAAGGGUGCGUAGGCGGUUUGGUAAGUCUGAUGUGAAAUCUAUGGGCUCAACUCAUAGUCUGCAUCGGAAACUGCCGGGCUUGAGUAUGGGAGAGGUGAGUGGAAUUCCUGGUGUAGCGGUGAAAUGCGUAGAUAUCAGGAGGAACACCUGUGGCGAAAGCG